GAACAAGUACCAUUGUUGAUUGAUAAGU
rnacentral:piRNA from 1 species